rnacentral:tRNA from 1 species
GUGGCCGUAGCUCAACAGGCAGAGCACCAGGUUGUGGUCCUGGGGGUUGGGGGUUCAAGUCCCCUCGGUCACC